ensembl:lncRNA
UGUGGAGUAACUGAUUACAGUUACAUGUAAUCUGAAUACAAAAAAACUGUAACUCUAAUCUGUUACGUAACCAGCCAAAAUAUUGUAAUCAGAUUACAGAUACCUAAUAGAAACAGAUUGUGUUUAGAAAGUAACCUACAGGCCCAUACCUUGCUUUUUAAUAGUUACAAACUGAAAAACACAUGGGUAAAAAAGCAAAGAUUUAUUAGCAUUGGACAAUGAUCAUCCACCAUGAAGAUUGUAACUGUAAUUGCAGAGUCCUAGUGGAUUUAAUCUUUGCCAGAUGAAUAGAAACACUGCUCCAAUCAGGCUCCACAACCACCACAACAACUCUUUAGUCCUCGAGGUUGACCGAAGAAGAGCCUUCAUAGGAGUUUGUGUUUCACUUCCUCUUAUGCUGCCCUAUUUAUCUCCAUCAUCAUCGCAUAUCAGAUGUUAGGGCAUGCAUGGUGGCAGAGAAAAACAAAAAGCCCAUAAAACCUGUCCAGACUUAUCUAUCUAGCUCUCUGGCUGUAACACAAAUAAGACGCAUAGAGAGGUGAUUAUUGCCUGAGAUUAUAAUGUAAAUUGAACAGCUACGGAUAGAAAAGAGCAGAUGCUCUGAGCUUUCCUCCCAAGACCAAGACACUACUACUACUACUAUUCCUGAAACCGAUUUACUGUAACAGUUUACUACUAUUCCACUUGUACACAUUACCAAGAAAAGAGACAGCACUGCUCUACUCUGUCCAGUGUCCACGGCUGCCAUCAUCAUGUCCAAGCUCAUCUGUGUGGCUCUCCUACUGGUCUUUCUGGUCUCCAUUUGGUGCCACAACACAGUCUCUUUUACCAAAUGGUCUGUGAGGGACGUGCUCCGUAAGUGUCGGUGCAAAGUUCUUCCCAAUGGGAGAGAGAUCUGCCUCAAGCCACUCUUUCCCAAAACCCCUGAGGAGACAAAGCAACUGAUUAAAUGCUUCUGCAGGAAAUCUAACUUGUAUAAACACAGUGCAAAGCUGAACUUAGAGACAAAGCGGGACUUGGAGAAAUGUUCAUUUAUCUGGUCCAACCCCUUCUGAGGAUGAGAGGGCAAGGGGGUGAACAAAUGAUUUUAAAUCAUUGUUACACCAGCAUAAUCAGUCUUUUAAACAUGUCGAUCAAAUAAAUAAAUGAUUUUUCUAUAUUAUCAAUUCACAUGUUGUGUUUAUAUUCAUUUUUGUGUAUGUGUGUUGCGUUUUAGUCAUAGUGUGAAAACAUAAUCACAACUUAUUCAAUCAUGUUUUGCAUGCAGAGCCCCUAUACCAUACAGAUGAGUGCUUACAGUAGGUUUCACAGUGUCGGGUUGUCACACUCUAGAGCCCUUUUAUACCUGCCGUUAACAUGCGUCCCUUCGUCCUGAACUUGUCUGUUUAAACUUAUGAGAUGCGUAUUUUAAUAGUCUACACCUGUCUGAAAAAAUUGGGCACAAUAAGAAUGUGGACAAGAUCAACUAACUAAAAACAAACUAGGUUUACCUUUUUGUCUGUGGAUUACUCGUCAGAGUAGAGAAGAAAUACACUAUUUUGUAUGACUCCACGUCAAAAUUCAGGUAAAAUAAUGACCCAAUCUCCAAGGAUAUGUACAUUCAUGUUUAUUGUGUGUUUUGACCUGCCCCCAAAUUAAUAUAGUUGGUUCACAGUUGGUUCUGAUAUUUUAACCUGCAUGUCAGAUUACAGACUCACACCAUUGGGCUUUGGCACUAGAGUUUACAUCUCUUUCUCUCACUCACUCAAUCACCCUCAAAUCAUUGUUGCAUGAACAGGCCUUCAUGGUCAAAUUGCUGCGAAGAAAGCACCACUAAAGGACACAAAUACUAAGAAGAGAUGUGCUUGGGCCAAGAAAAACGAGCAAUGGACAUUAGAAAGGUGGAAAUCUGUCCUUUGGUCAGAUUAAAUUUGAGAUAUUUGGUUCCAACCGAUGUGUCUUUGUGAGACGCAGAUUAGGUGAACAGAUGAUCUCUGCAUUGGUCGUUCCGACCGUGAAGCAUGGAGGAGUGAUGGUGUGAGGGUGCUUUGCUGGUGACACUGUCAGUGAUUUAUUUAGAAUUCAAGGCACACUUAAUCAGCAUGGUUACCACAGCAUUCUGCAGCGAAACUCCAUCCCAUCUGGUUUGCGCUUAGUGGGACUAUCAUUUGUUUUUCAACAGGACAAUAUCCCAACACACCUCCAGGCUGUGUAAGGGCUAUUUUACCAGGAAGGAGAGUGAUGGAGUGCUGCAUCAACUGUUGGAAAAGCAUUUCUCAUGAAGCUGGUUGAGAGAAUGCCAAGAGUGUGCAAAGCUGUCAUCAAGGCAAAGGGUGGCUACUUUGAAGAAUCUCAAAUAUAAGAUAUAUUUUUAUUUGUUUAACACUUUUUUGGUAACUACAUGAUUCCAUAUGUGUUAUUUUAUAGUUUUUAUUUUGCAAUGUAGAAAAUAGUACAAAUAAAGAAAAACUCUUGAAUGAGUAGGUGUCUGAACUUUUGACUGGUACUGUGCAUAAAUUCCUUAUAUCAUAUGAUGCUGUACUUCCUAUAAAGUCAGA